GGACUGGUAGCUCAGUUGGUAGACCCACCACUAUAUAUGCGGGAGGUCUCGAGUUCGAUCCUCGACUAGUGCA